rnacentral:rRNA from 1 species
GACGACCAGCGGUCUUAGAAGUCAACGGCAGCUCCGGCCACUGGCAGCCUAGACUGGAGGUGCCGCGGUCAUCGGUGCCCUAGGCACCUGGUCGGCGCACACACAAGGGGGUGGCAGUCCGAGGACCACCGAGUUGCUGCUCGUGGUAGAAGUGAACCCACCCGUCGGGGCUGUCGACACUGCUCGUGGAAGGGUGUCCCUAGUUGUUGAAGUGGGCGCCGAGGGGCUAAAGUAACAAAAACACGCACGCAAAAGUGACAAAAAACGACGUCCGUAGGGUGGCCACCGCGACGGUACGUUAAAUCCAUCACGAGAACGUGUCGAGGAUCAGGUGGAGCUACGGCAGGUCUGACGUCCCGUCUAGUCCGUUCUUGUCCCCGUAGUGGCCGAUCAUCGAGGUGGAGAGAGCUCACCGGUAGCAGCACGUCAAGACGACGGGCUGUGUACGUCAGUUGUCGCCCUCACUAUCGACAUCUGGCAGUAUACGAUCGACACGUCACGCGGAGGUCUACGUCACGACAGCCCUAGACCUCGAAGUGCGGGAAGUCGUCCCUCCAGGGCCACUUCAAGUCUCUGAGUGAGACAGUCACGUCUUAAGUCUGUAUAUCGUAACGCACACCAACAAAACAUCAAAUCACGUGUUCAUGUACGUGAAAAUCACGCCAGGUCACGCACCUCAAACGUCAAACGGCGGAGGAUAAACCCAUCGACCACUGCUCCUCGAUGUCAAAAGAUGCUACUAAUCCCCUGUGCCCGCUAAUGAACGUACUAACAAACUUAAAAAACAACGACUAAAUCUCGUCAAAAGUAUAAUGGUGACUAGACAACCCAAACAAGAAGUUCUGCCAAGAUAUCACGUCUAAGAAGAGAACGUCAAUCAUGC